rnacentral:rRNA from 1 species
GACGAACGCUGGCGGCGUGCCUAAUACAUGCAAGUCGAGCGAGCGGAACUAACAGAUUUACCUCGGUAAUGACGUUAGGAAAGCGAGCGGCGGAUGGGUGAGUAACACGUGGGGAACCUGCCCCAUAGUCUGGGAUACCACUUGGAAACAGGUGCUAAUACCGGAUAAGAAAGCAGAUCGCAUGAUCAGCUUUUAAAAGGCGGCGUAAGCUGUCGCUAUGGGAUGGCCCCGCGGUGCAUUAGCUAGUUGGUAAGGUAAAGGCUCACCAAGGCGAUGAUGCAUAGCCGAGUUGAGAGACUGAUCGGCCACAUUGGGACUGAGACACGGCCCAAACUCCUACGGGAGGCAGCAGUAGGGAAUCUUCCACAAUGGACGCAAGUCUGAUGGAGCAACGCCGCGUGAGUGAAGAAGGUUUUCGGAUCGUAAAGCUCUGUUGUUGGUGAAGAAGGAUAGAGGUAGUAACUGGCCUUUAUUUGACGGUAAUCAACCAGAAAGUCACGGCUAACUACGUG